ensembl:lncRNA
GAAUCAAGAGACAUUCGGAACAUCAUGAAAGAGGUCAAGGCAGAAAACAGGUGCAGACCAUCAUAAUCUACAGGCCUUGGUAAACACAUGGAAAGAAGAGGGCUGUGCCGUUGAGUACAGACCCUCUCAGGAGGAAGAGGAGGAGGAUGGUAGCGUGGUGAAGAUGCUGCUGUGCUUGCAGACGCCGUGGCAGAAGAGGCUUAUGCGACUGUAUGGACAGCAGAUGUGCUUACUGGAUGAAUCCUAUCGAGCUGGCAGAAAUUCACUGCCACUCUUCUUUCUGUGGGUGAGGACGAAUGUCCGCUGUUGGAGUGUUUGUCACUCAGACAGAGACCAAAGAGGACAUCGCAGAAGCCUUGAAGGUGUUUCAGAAGUGGAAUUCAGACUGGAAUCCAUCACACUUCAUGGUGGACUUCUGUGAGGCGGAAAUCAGUGCUUUAGAGGAGGUGUUUAAGGGUUCUAAAGUGCUCCUCUGUGAUGUUCACCGAGAGAAGGCAUGGAUGGAGUGGAUAAGAAAAAAGGAGAAUGGUGUGACAUCUCAGGAAGAGGUUCUUAAACUUCUACAGGCCAUUGCAGAUUCUCAGACGAAUGAGGAGUUUGAGAACAACACUGUUACCCUCCAACAACAUCCAGACUGGCAGUCAAAUGAGAAGCUGAGAAGGUUCGUCAGCACAUGGCUAGUUCAUGCAGAGAGGUGGGUGAACAUGUUCGGAAAUGAGAACAUGCAUGUGGCUGCCUUCAAAAAUAAAGGUGUUAAAAGUCAAAAGGAUGUCCUGAAGCAUUCACACCUAAAGGGACACAGAAACUGCAGUCUCAGCGAAACGCUUAUAGUCAGUAUGAACAACUUCCUGCCAAGAUCGUAUCAAAAGUAUGUUGAAUUGAAUAUCAAAUGCUCAAGUGGCUCUCGCAAAUACAGCACAAAUGUGCCUUGUUAUGCAGGACACAGUCCAAGAAUUAUGUCUCAACACAUUAUAAAGAGGCACCAAGAGUCGCUGCCCUUCAAUGCAAGUGACAUAACAUCUGCUGGAGAGAACGUCUUCAAUGUUCAGAGUCAAACUUCACUGGAAAAACAUCAGGUGAACUUUGUUCCUGGCUGGAGUUGGGAGAAUCUGAGUGCUGCGUACAGGAAGAACCCUCUCUUCACGUUUGACGAGGUUUGCCUGGGACAGUCUGCUACACUUCCUGCUGAUCUUCAAGGCGAAGAGGCUCUGAAGAAAAAUCAGGAGAAAGAUAGUAGUCCAGAGAGAUGUCCAUCUCCUGCUCCCUCAGAGCCCAUCCUGACCAAUCCUGAAGCAGAAAAAAGCGAGAAGUGCUGUAGCUUGUUGAAGGAGAUAUCAGAAUUGACAUGCCACAUACAGGACGGGACCUUUCUAGAUUCAGUAACUGAUCGCCUUACAGAUCUGUUAAAAGAUAUAAGGCGACACACUCCCCAUGAUGACAUCCUUGACCUUUCCUACGCCCCACCAUCCAAGAAAAUGUGUUCAGCAUCUGCAGAGCACCCAGAAUCAAUUAACACAGUUCCUCUGUAUCUGGAGAAGAUAAUGAGGGCAACCCAUACAAGUGAAUUUUGAACUACAUUUUUAAGGUGUUACUUCCCUCAAUCGUGAUUUGUGGUUGUAAACAUUUUUGUCAUUAAAAUGCUUUAAUUUUUUGGAAUAAUUGAGUUGUAAUUUCUGUUAUUCCGAUAUAACAUGAUUGAUGUAGCCUAACAAAACCUCAAGUAGUGUGAUAUCAUUGUCCUUUGCUUUCCUGACAAAAGUACCGUGCUGGUCAUUAAAAUACGAAAAAAAGUGAAUUUUACUAAUGUGAAGAUUCUCUCUAUUGUACAGUGGAGUUCAAAUAUUUGGGGCCGGUAAGAUAUUUGAAUGUUUUUGAAAGAAUUCUCUUCUGCUCACCAACGCUGCAUUUAUUUGAUACAGUAAAACAGGAAUAUUGUGAAAUAUUAUUACAGUUUAAAAUACCUGUUUUCUACUGGAAUAUAUUUUUAAAUGUAAUUUAUUCCUGUGAUGCAAAGCUGAAUUUUCCAGCAUCAUUACUCCAGUCUUCAAUGUCACAUGAUCCUUCAGAAAUCAUUCUAAUAUACUGAUUUGCUGCUUAAGAAAUACAGGUGCUGGUCAUAUAAUUAGAAUAUCAUCAAAAAGUUGAUUUAUUUCACUAAUUCCAUUCAAAAAGUGAAACUUGUAUAUUAUAUUCAUUCAUUACACACAGACUGAUAUAUUUCAAAUGUUUAUUUCUUUUCAUUUUGAUGAUUAUAACUGACAACUAAGGAAAAUCUCAAAUUCAGUAUCUCAGAAAAUUAGAAUAUUACUUAAGACCAAUACAAAGAAAAGAUUUUUAAAAACUUUGGCCAACUGAAAAUUAUGAGCAUGAAAAGUAUGAGCAUGUACAGCACUCAGUACUUAGUUGGGGCUCCUUUUGCCUGAAUUACUGCAGCAAUGCGGCGUGGCAUGGAGUCGAUCAGUCUGUGGCACUGCUCAGGUGUUAUGAGAGCCCAGGUUGCUCUGAUAGUGGCCUUCAGCUCUUCUGCAUUCUUGGGUCUGGCAUAUCGCAUCUUCCGGACCUCAAGCAACGUGGAUUGUGUGCCUCUCCUCUCUUCCUCCAGACUCUGGGACCCUGAUAUCCAAAGUAAAUGCAAAAUUUACUUUCAUCAGAGAACAUAACUUUGGACCACUCAGCAGCAGUCAAGUCCUUUUUGUCUUUAGCCCAUUCUGACGCUGUCUGUUGUUCAAGAGUGGCUUGACACAAGAAUGCGACAGCUGAAACCCAUGUCUUGCAUACGUCUGUGCAUAGUGGUUCUUGAAGCACUGACUCCAGCUGCAGUCCACUCUUUGUGAAUCUCCCCCACAUUUUUGAAUGGGUUUUGUUUCACAAUCCUCUCCAGGGUGCGGUUAUCCCUAUUACAUGUACACUUUUUUCUACCACAUCUUUUCCUUCCCUUCGCCUCUCUAUUAAUGUGCUUGGACACAGAGCUCUGUGAACAGCCAGCCUCUUUAGCAAUGACCUUUUGUGUCUUGCCCUCCUUGUGCAAGGUGUCAGUGGUCGUCUUUUGGACAUCUGUCAAGUCAGCAGUCUUCCCCAUGAUUGUGUAGCCUACAGAACUAGACUGAGAGACCAUUUAAAGGCCUUUGCAAGUGUUUUGAGUUAAUUAGCUGAUUAGAGUGUGGCACCAGGUGUCUUCAAUAUUGAACCUUUUCACAAUAUUCUAAUUUUUUGAGAUACUGAAUUUGGGAUUUUCCUUAGUUGUCAGUUAUAAUCAUCAAAAUUAAAAGAAAUAAACAUUUGAAAUAUAUCUGUCUCUGUGUAAUG